GGCAGGAUCAUCUGGCACUGAACGGACCCAGCCUUCUUCUACUUUGGUUGAGGCUUUAUCUUCUUCUUCAAAUGAUGAUGGUGUAGAAGACGAAGAAGAUGAGGAGAAUGAGGCACCUGCCCUUCAGCUACAAAGUGCCUCAAUGCCAAUGAAACGCAAUGCAGCUUCUGUCCCAAGAAAAAGGAGCAGCUCAUCCAAGCCAACAAAGAGAGGUAAACAACUCUCGAGGCAGACGAGUCAGGCUACCUCUAGUCCUGGUGAUGACAACAAGGCCAAGUGGAACUUUCAAAGUGAGCCUGACAUUUAGGCACAACCUCCUAUAUACCCUGAGGCAUGCUCCAGGACCAAGAAUUGACACCACAAAAUCAUGGUUACCUCUGACUCUGUUGAAGCUGUUUUUAGUGCAAGCACCAUCCGGACCUUAAUCAGUAAUACUAAUUCAUAUGCGCAAAGGACAAUUUCAGCUGGCAAGAAUUUCCUGUGGUCACCAAGUUUAUUUAUAUAGUUUUUAUUGCUAAUUGUUUUUCCACAUUUGCUUAUAUAGUUUUUAUUGAUGGUUGGGUUUUUUUGCACAUUUGUUUAUAUAAGUUUUAUUGAUAAUUGUCUAUGCAUAUUUGUUUGUUUUUCACUGCUAAUUCUUUUUUCAAUAAAAUUCCUCCAGUUGGAGAUAAAAGGA